rnacentral:lncRNA from 1 species
GCCAUUCUCGAUUUUGUGCCAACCAUUCUCCAUCCUAUUCAUCUUCUUCGUUCAAGCAAACCCUAGGAAAGCUGCUGUCGUGGCCCCUUUUUCGGUGAACCUCCAUUGCUUCGACGACCAUUCGUUCACCUCCACCGUUUUGGUUCGACAAAGAUCAGAGAAGGUCGAGCCACAAGUCACCAAUCGUGUAAAGUCUUUGAUGUUGGGGUUGAGAGCUGACGUUCUUUUGUCUGCAUUUUGCUUGUUCAACCCAGAUUCCGGUCAACCUCCAUCCGUCGCACAACAUUCAAGCGCAAACGAAGCCAUCGACGAGUGGUCACCGUCGCAUUUGUUUGCGCCUCAUCUCCGAUCGUGUUCCCCUUUCGUUGUUGACUUUACCAGACUCGAGCAGCUACCCAUCUUCGUGAGUAAUUGACUCUUAACCAAGAAAUUAUUAAUUUAGCUAAUCUUUCAAGUAAGAGAUUCUACUAUUAGACCCUCUACAGUAAAUUGAAGAACUUGCAUGUAUAUUUCUCUUGUUAUGCAUUAAUGUAGCCACGAUGCAUAAUAUGAAUGUUGUUAGGGAUGAUUGAUAUAGGUGGCUACAUAUGACUGAAAUAUGUUAUGAAUGAGACAUAUUAUGAUUUAGAUAUGUUAAGAUUGAGAUAUGUAUGCCUGAGAUAGGACAUUUAUGAUAUGCUGCAUGUGUAGACUAUAAUGUUCUAUUAGCUCUUGUCUCUUAAAGUCGUACCCAUAUGAGUGUCCCUCAAGAUCACCAUUUAUGUAUGACUGUGUGACGAACUUUUAUGAGUGAUUCGACAUAGUCACUUUCAG